GGGGGGCGUCCAUUACUUGCCUAUGCUAAUUUUCCCGAUUCGAUUGUGGUCCCUGACCCCCGAAGGUUCACGACACAACAUUGCAACAUUACUAUAAAUGUGAGUGCCGCGCUUCAAUGAGGCUGAAGUUAUAUUUAUGGAGAUUAAAAAGUCUGUUCACGUCAAUCAAUGACUGCCUGCGUGCUUUGCUUCCAGUGGGCCCAAAACGAAAGGCCCGCUAACGGUGGCUAAAACUAUCAACACAGAGAGAACAUCACCAUUGCACCGUUCCUCCGGCUUCUCCUCCGCUGUGGCUGUGCUCAGCUGAGGCUCCAUGGGCGUGGCGGGAGUCUGUGUGUCGGGAGCGUUUGCACUAAGAGCUGCCUUUAGGCUGGCGGCAAGGCCAAGGCCACCGCCUGCUGCUACCGGAGCGGCAGCAGUGCCUGAGGGUGCUCCGGCAUCGGUUCCGGAAACUCCGGAAUCCCCCUGCUCGGAUGCCCGGAGCCUCUUCAUGAGAGUGGUAACUCUGACAGCUUUCUGUGAGUAACCAAACACAUGGAGAUGGAUGUCGAAAUCAGUGUAUCUCUGUCUUCAUUGAACCAAAGUACAUAUUUUACAUUGGAAAUUUUUCAUGGCACACCACCAAACAAAAAUGUCCCCAAAAAUAUAUUCAACAAAUACUGUCAGAAACACCUAUAUUUACAACCUCAAUCUAAUAUUUGUUCCAUCAAAUUGUACGAAUGCAUUCCCGAAGCUCUUUUCUCUUUAUUUUGUCAUGUUUCUCUCGGCUGCAGUGCUUGGAACAUGUGGAUGUUGCAUUGUUCAAUUACAUUUCAGCCUCUAUGUGGUGCUGGAAUUUUAUCUGCUGGAAUCAUUCGUGCUAGCCUUUUAUUUUCAAGUGCAUUACUUUCUUCAGCCCAAGGAUGUAAAUUUCAUUUUCCAUUCUUUCCUUUGCUUUUCUUUGACUCUUAACUUAAAAAUAAAUUUGACUGGAACUGCUUC